CCCCACUCUGAAUGAUGUCCAGGCUCUGUGUUUGAUACUUGCCUACAAUCUGCUUAUCAUAAAGCCAGAUACCCAGUUCUCCUGCCCAGAGGCCUCAUGAACACUGACGCAGAUGUCAUGAUAAAACGUCUAACACCCUGAACCUGUGGCUUAGUGGGGAAGGAGGCAGUCUUUGGAUUCUGGACCCAAGCCAUUUCCCUGCAUCCCCUGGAGCAGGUCAAUCUAGGUUCCCAGCAAUUCUAUCCACUGACCACUGCUUGAUUACAGCACAAGAGUCCAAACAUCUCACUCCCUCCUGAUCUUGAUGAUAAUCAUUUCUUUCUUUAAGACCCUGAACUGGACCUUAGGAAUUGAAAGUGGCCAGAGGAUGUAUUCUGUGUUUUAGCCAUGUAAAAGAUAAUAAAGACCUUCCUGUUCCUUCUUAUCUUCAGGAGUGGGUAGAGCUUAGAUCCACUCUGUUUUGGCACCUGAACCACUGUUUAGGGGGUCCAGGAAAAUUCCUCCAAGGCUCAGGUCUCCAAGGAAUAAGAUUUAGAAUGAGAGAAGAGAACAUAUUGAUGCUUCCUGUUAGAUCCCUCUGUGGCCACAGACUUCUGUUGCUUUGGUCUGGAAGGCAGCUCACCCCAAACAUCAAUGGACAGAGACAUCCUAGGAAAGCAGCCAGGAUGUGCUUCUAUCUUUCCAACCAGAGGCUGAGGCUAACAACGAGCAAGGCAGAACAUUAAUACUUCAAGAGGUAUUAGAGUUUAAUGUGUGAGUGAGGCCAGGAGAGCACUGAUGUACAGUAGAUAUGUAGAGUAGAUAUGUGUGUAUAUAAACUCAGGCAAAUUAAGUUGACUGCAGGACUGGGGAAAAUUUCCUCUUGGUAGAAAGCAGCCUAAGUGGGUUCUGACUCUGUUCAAAGUUCCCAAGCCCACUCUUCCCACCCCC
rnacentral:lncRNA from 1 species